GGAAUUUUCCGCAAUGGGCGAAAGCCUGACGGAGCAAUACCGCGUGAGGGAAGACUGCCUAUGGGUUGUAAACCUCUUUUUUCAGUGAGGAAUAAAUGACGUUAACUGAAGAAUAAGCAUCGGCUAACUCCGUGCCAGCAGCCGCGGUAAGACGGAGGAUGCAAGUGUUAUCCGGAAUCACUGGGCGUAAAGCGUCUGUAGGUGGUUUAAUAAGUCAACUGUUAAAUCUUGAGGCUUAACUUCAAAAUCGCAGUCGAAACUAUUAGACUAGAGUAUAGUAGAGGUAAAGGGAAUUUCCAGUGGAGCGGUGAAAUGCGUAGAUAUUGGAAAGAACACCGAUGGCGAAGGCACUUUACUGGGCUAUUACUGACACUCAGAGACGAAAGCUAGGGUAGCAAAUGGGAUUAGAUACCCCAGUAGUC
rnacentral:rRNA from 1 species